CAGCAGUAGGGAAUCUUCCACAAUGGACGAAAGUCUGAUGGAGCAACGCCGCGUGAGUGAUGAAGGGUUUCGGCUCGUAAAACUCUGUUGUUGGAGAAGAACGGGUGUCAGAGUAACUGUUGACAUCGUGACGGUAUCCAACCAGAAAGCCACGGCUAACUACGUGCCAGCAGCCGCGGUAAUACGUAGGUGGCAAGCGUUGUCCGGAUUUAUUGGGCGUAAAGCGAGCGCAGGCGGUUUUUUAGGUCUGAUGUGAAAGCCUUCGGCUUAACCGGAGAAGUGCAUCGGAAACCGGGAGACUUGAGUGCAGAAGAGGACAGUGGAACUCCAUGUGUAGCGGUGAAAUGCGUAGAUAUAUGGAAGAACACCAGUGGCGAAGGCGGCUGUCUGGUCUGCAACUGACGCUGAGGCUCGAAAGCAUGGGUAGCGAACAGGAUUAGA
rnacentral:rRNA from 1 species